rnacentral:rRNA from 1 species
CACGUAGGGUGCGAGCGUUGUCCGGAAUUAUUGGGCGUAAAGAGCUCGUAGGCGGUGUGUCGCGUCGGCCGUGAAAACCUGCAGCUUAACUGUGGGCUUGCGGUCGAUACGGGCAUCACUGGAGUUCGGCAGGGGAGACUGGAAUUCCUGGUGUAGCGGUGAAAUGCGUAGAUAUCGCUUGGAACGCCAACGGUGAAAACAGGUUGCUGGGGGUGUGCUGACGCUGAGACACGAAAGCCAGGGGAGCGAACGGG